rnacentral:lncRNA from 1 species
CCAUAAAAUUAGCGUGUAAAAAUUAAGAGGCUUUAGGGAGAAAAUAAAAAUUUUGGUGCAAACACAUCCAAUGUGUCAUCCCUUAGUUUCCACAAGGAAUAAAUUCUUUAUAUAGAAGCUCUAGGUGUGGAAGAGCCUUCAAGCAGAAGGACUCCUCCACUUCUAUGCCAACAUAUCUCCAGGAGCCAUCACAUGGCACGUGGAGUAGAGGAAAUGCAUGGAAUAAAGGGAGGAAUUAAGAGUCCAAUGUGAAAUGGACUCUUCC